rnacentral:piRNA from 1 species
UUCAGUUGACAAUGGUUUUUU